AAUCAGUGCAGAUGCGUCUUUCAUUGAUGAGUAUAUUGCCCGCACUUCACACACCUAGAAGAGGUGGCUGCUGAACAUUGGAGCCUCUGCCAGCUGCUGAAAAUCCUGCCUGAACUGCUUGGGGCCAGGAGGAUGGGUCACAGGAGGCCUCCAGGUACCAGGAGCACCAGCUAUGCUUUGUUUCUCUGUGGGUGGAAAAUAUUCUGUGACUCAGGGAGGCAGCUGGAGACCAAAGCACCACUUAAAGCCGGGCAGCAGCUCAGGAAGAAUGAAUGGCCUGUAAUUAAAGCUCUCUCUGCUUCGUUGCGGCAGCUAAGAGGUGAGGCUGUGGAACCUGUGGAUUGCGCUACCUGGGCUCCCUCAUCUUCUGGCUUCUGCUUGAGUCUGGCCAGUGAGAGGACAUCAUGGUGAAGGUGGGAGAGAAGCAAUGAGGGUCUUGAUUCGUACCCAUUCUGUGGAGAUACAAUGUCUCCGACUUUAGCCCCCUUCCACAUCUCCUGAUUAUGGGGUCAUUCCUCUUCCAUGGUUCUAUUUCUUUCUCUUUCUUCCUAAAUAGUUUUAACUUAAAAAA